rnacentral:lncRNA from 1 species
CCAGUACACUUUGGCCAGCGAGGUCAAUCCUGAUACAGAUCUGCCCCAUGGAGCUGAAAUGGUUCCUCAACCCUAACCUGGAGCUAAUUUCUGUUUAACAGACUGCCAGUUGUCUUGUGCUUGAGCACCAUUCAUCACUACCUGUAGCAACUACCAGGAAUGCAGACAGAGAAUGCAAGACCUCACAACAGAAUAGCUAGGGUAAGCCAGCAGCGGACAACCUCUGGACUGCGAGCCAAAUUGAGCCUGCCAGGGAUCCCGUUUGGCCUGCCCAUUUGGCAUAUUCAGUUCCUUUCAUCUACAUGUGGUAAAUGGAUCAGGAUGUUAAGGUCAGGAACGGGGAUCACACUCCUUAUAGGGAAGCUGUUUUAGGUAACAUAUGUACCAUGACCAUGAUGCGUUCUCUACCCUUCUAGUGGGUGCCCAGUGGAGUAUAUGGGGUAUGUGUCUUGAGGUCUCUCUCUAAAUGCAUUUAUUCUUUUAUACCUGGCCCCAGAGUAUGUCCUCAAGCACGACUCUUGAUGAAGAAUAUUUUUCAACAAGAAAAUGCAGCUUGAGAUUUACAGUGCUGGGUUCUGUUCCUAUGCAAUGAACCUCCCAUCCUCUGCUUCCACUUAUUUAUCUUGAUGAUCGAUGUGUUUUGUGACUCUCCGCUAAUGCAAUAUUCCUAGCUGCUUCUUCUGCUGUAAUUUCUGGUUCUUUGCUCUAUAAGUUAAACAUGUGUCUCCUGUCAUGCAAAGCUUGUCCGAAGGAUAGAUGACUUCUGCUUCCAUUUAUUUCCUCCGCAGAGGUGAGUGCAUUCAUCUUGUCACUUGUAGAUCCCGGGCAAUUUAAUGAAGUGUUCACUAAACGUUGCCCAAGAAGCGCUUGCAUUAUCGAAAACACGGCGAACCCUUCCGUUUCAAGAUAAGGUCAUUUAUAUUUAGUAAAAAUGGGACUCGGCUAUUGUUAAGAGUUGAGUAUGACUUAUGCUGAGAGAGCCCUUUGUAAGUGAAGCGCCAGAUUAAUCACGAUGCUCAGUGUGACACAGAGCAGGGUCCCAGAUAAAAGUGGCCUCCUCUGAUAGUGCAGUCAUCUGUGGGAGGCACUGCCAUGUCUAGCUGUCACCCAGUGCCAGACAUUGAGUCUUUGGAAGAUAAAUCAGACAUUGCAGAGGUUGAGGGCCUUGAGGAACAGGAAGGGGGUCCUGGAACGUGUGCUCAGCAUCACCUUGAGGGACCUCUUGAAGCAAACACCACUACCAUGCCCCCCAGCUGUCCCAUUUUAAGUGGGACAGAAACCAAUCCCAACUUCCGUUUGCAUCCCAGAAUGUCCUUUUUUUGGUCUGGCACUUUUGUGUGAGUCCUCGGAAGGUGCUCAACACUGGUACUCCAGCACAUCUGGGAAUUAUGUUCACAUGUGGUGGGGGUGUAAAUAUGUACAAUUUUUCUGGCAAAGGGUGUUUAAGGAGAUAACAGAAAUCACUGGGUUAAAGCUUACCGAAAGUCCAGAGGUAGCAUAAUUAUCAAUUUACGAUGGGAUGGAAGGUUCGCAGGCUAGGAAGAACUUGCUCACAAAUUGUGAUAGCUAGGAAGUGGAAGGGGCAAGCAGAAUAUAAAAUAGAAGAAUGGCAUAAAAAGGUGUGGGAUAUGGCUAUUAAUGAUAAAUUAACACGUGCCAUUAAGGUAACAUGGAGAAUAUGCAGGAGAAAUGAUUUUGAGGAGAUAUGGAGGGUGGUUGUAGAAUUUGUACUGUUCAAACUGAAAGGGGUCAAACCAUCGCAACAGGCACAUCCUUCUGAUGUCCUGAUUUUGGGGAUCAAAAUGUUGGAGGGUAUGCACAUUGAUGUAAAGGUCUGUGUGGAAGACUACUUACACAUUGUCCAAUAAUAAUAAUAAUAAUAGUAAUGUAGACAUGCAAUACGAGCGGGGCAGUGGGCAAAAGAGAAUACAGAUUCCCAGAACAUGUGUGUAUGUUAAUUUACAUGCACAUAUACAAAGGUAGAAAAAAUUACUACUAUAAUUUUAAUAGAAAAGGAAUGCUAGAAAAAAUUACUACUAUAAUUUUUAUAGAAAAGAAAUCUCCGUAGUGGGCAAGACUGCAACCAGUGACCUGUGUGCCUGUUUGUUUCCCAGGUGCUACUAAGGCCCACCCCCCUUCUAUAGGUCUUCAUCUUUCAACCAGGCUGGCAUUGGCCACCCCUUCAGAGGAUUGUCCUCUGCAAAGGAAGACACAUGGUCUCCCCAGCGGAAUGUAUGUGUGCAUUUGUAUCUCCAACAGAGUCAUCCAAGUCCCAAAGCAUCCAUUUUUUAAAAGGCAAUCUUCUUGUUUUGUUGGAGAAUACAGUUAUGAAGAUGAGAACUACACUUGCUAGAUUAAAAAAUAAAAUAAAACUGGUCUCAGGAACCUCUACAAGCAGCACUGGGCUCUGGCACUAAUGAAUAAUAGUGGUGCAGAGCAAGGAGGAAAGUAUUUGAAGGUACUAAUUUUGCCUAUUCGACACAACUGAUUUUUAAGGUAAAAAGCACAGAGUGCAUCACCCGUGGGCUGUAUUUGAAAACCUACUUUUAUUUAAUAUUAAAACCAGCUUCUUACUGGAGCGGAAGCUUUGCUAAAAAUAGCAACUCCCUCUCUCUGCGGAGUUUGUGGAGGGGGAUAAAAGGCACAACCAAAAUAGGUGAUUGUUUCUAGUUUGUGCCAGAGGAAUACAAAGGGGAUUUUCCCUGUGACCUGUGAGGCUCCUUUGGGAGAAAGUCUCUCCACAGAAAUCUCCAAGGGGAACAGCCUAUUGGUCUGGAAGCAAAUAAACAGCUUGCACCAGGCACCUAAAGACCAGAAAGCUUAGCUUCUGUGAUUCCUUUAUCUGCUUCUGUCUAUAUCCCAAAGGCUCAUCUCAAAGGGUUGAGCACUACCAGUUUUAGCAUUAAAAAACUACAUCCAAUACCCAGUUGUAGUGAGGCUCUUGCAGCAGACAUGCGGGUAGGGAUGGGUGAAUUUAUCAAUUUUGGUUUCCCAUGUUUGAAAACCGUAAGUCUCCACAUUUCCACAGCUGUUUGCAUUUUGUUUUUAAAUAGAAAUCCUCAUGAAAAUUCAGUAGCAAUUUAGUGUGUAUUUUUCCUGAUAGGUGCAUUUUUUUUGCCUAAUAUACACAUUUAGGUAAAGUGAUUUCUCCUAACCUAAUGCAUAUUCUCACCAAUAUAUGCAAUUCCAUGCACCCUCCCCCCUAGCAUGUUCAGUUUUGGUCAUGUAACUUGUCUGGAGAACUGCAUUGCAACAUUUGGAAACCUAGGUGCUAUCUUGGGGGGAGGGGUGCCGAAGCAGAAGAAGAAGAAGAGUUUGGAUUUGAUAUCCCGCCUUUCACUCCCCUUCAGGAGUCUCAAAGCGGCUAACAUUCUCCUUUCCCUUCCUCCCCCACAACAAACACUCUGUGAGGUGAGUGGGGCUGAGAGACUUCAAAGAAGUGUGACUGGCCCAAGGUCACCCAGCAGCUGCAUGUGGAGGAGCGGAGACUCGAACCCGGUUCCCCAGAUUACGAGACUACCGCUCUUAACCACUACACCACACUGGCUCUCCAGUUUCCUCCUUGCUCUGCACCACUAUUAUUCAUUAGUGCCAGAGCACAGAAACAUUUACUGUGGGUGCUCGGCUGGGCCACCCAACACACUGCCUGCUGCAGUGGGGCGGUUCCUUUGGGCCCUCCUGCUGCGAUGGGGGGGGGCUUCACUGGACCCGCCUGCUGCAGCGACGAUGUGUGACAUCACACGCACGUGUGAUGUCACAAGCGUGCGCCAGGCACCCACAUUUAAUCAAUACAGGACAUAGCAUUUUACACUGAAGUAAGGGGCAAUCCUGUAUUAUACAGGAUGGGUGAUAACCUUACUUUAAAUGCACACGGCAGAUGGGCCCUUAACCACACCCUGUACCUUGCUUUAGAUAACGAUUGAUGCAGGCCCUCACUGAAAGAUUUGCCAGAUGUUUUCACAUGUCCUUUGGGUGCCGGGAUGACAGAAGACUUGCCACUGAAAUGAGAUUUUCUCCUGCGUAGCGGUCAGGCUUCACAAUUAAUCGCCUCUAAAUCUGAAAUAUUUCUUCUUCUUUUCCCAUCGCAGCUCAGCCCUGUGGCAGUGGAGGGAAAUGUUUCAGUUCGAGAGAGUCCUGAAGCACUUGAGAAUUACUAUAAAACCAGCAAACGGUCAGAUCUCAUCAGGCGCAGAAGACCGAUACAGAAUUUCCACAAUGGAUUAAAAUUGACCUGUCUCAUAUGGGGCCUCAUUGUAGCAAUUUAAAUCGAGGUGCUCUACAACUUUAAUUAUUUUAUUCAGACAUCUUCAUUUUUAUUUUUAUUUUAGCGUUCCAACCUGGGCA